UACGUAGGGUGCGAGCGUUAAUCGGAAUUACUGGGCGUAAAGUGUGCGCAGGCGGCAGAGCAAGUCGAGUGUGAAAGCCCCGGGCUUAACUUGGGAAUUGCGCUCGAAACUACUUGGCUGGAGUGUGGCAGAGGAAGGUGGAAUUCCAGGUGUAGCGGUGAAAUGCGUAGAGAUCUGGAGGAACACCGAUGGCGAAGGCAGCCUUCUGGGCCAACACUGACGCUCAUGCACGAAAGCGUGGGGAGCAAACAGG
rnacentral:rRNA from 1 species